rnacentral:rRNA from 1 species
AUUGAACGCUGGCGGCAUGCUUUACACAUGCAAGUCGAACGGUAACAGGCCUUCGGGCGCUGACGAGUGGCGAACGGGUGAGUAAUGCAUCGGAACGUGCCCAGUCGUGGGGGAUAACGCAGCGAAAGCUGCGCUAAUACCGCAUACGAUCUAUGGAUGAAAGCGGGGGACCGUAAGGCCUCGCGCGAUUGGAGCGGCCGAUGUCAGAUUAGGUAGUUGGUGGGGUAAAGGCUCACCAAGCCAACGAUCUGUAGCUGGUCUGAGAGGACGACCAGCCACACUGGGACUGAGACACGGCCCAGACUCCUACGGGAGGCAGCAGUGGGGAAUUUUGGACAAUGGGCGCAAGCCUGAUCCAGCAAUGCCGCGUGCAGGAAGAAGGCCUUCGGGUUGUAAACUGCUUUUGUACGGAACGAAACGGUCCUGGUUAAUACCUGGGGCUAAUGACGGUACCGUAAGAAUAAGCACCGGCUAACUACGUGCCAGCCGCCGCGGUAACAC